rnacentral:rRNA from 1 species
UACGGGGGGAGCAAGCGUUGUUCGGAUUUACUGGGCGUAAAGGGCGCGUAGGCGGCGCAACAAGUCACUUGUGAAAUCUCCGGGCUUAACUCGGAAAGGUCAAGUGAUACUGUUGUGCUAGAGUGCGGAAGGGGCAACUGGAAUUCUCGGUGUAGCGGUGAAAUGCGUAGAUAUCGAGAGGAACACCUGCGGCGAAGGCGGGUUGCUGGGCCGACACUGACGCUGAGGUGCGAAAGCGUGGGGAGCAAACAGG